GGAGAGGUGCCGGAGUGGUUGAACGGGCUCGCCUGGAAAGCGUGUAGGGGUCGAAAGGCCUCUCGCGGGUUCGAAUCCCGCCCUCUCCGCCA
rnacentral:tRNA from 3 species